CCUCAACUGGUUACAGGCAAGCAAGGGCUCCUCAGAAUUUGCUUUACUAAUGGUUUAGGACUUUCCAGAUCUGGACUCCGAAGAAGAUGCCCAGGUGUAAGCCCAAAGGCAAUCUUUCUCUCUACUCCAAAUACUACCCGAUACACAGAAAGCUGAACCUAACCCAGUGUAAACACCGAUUCUCAUCUGCUAAAUUCAGCAAGGCCGGCA